CUGCUGCCUCCCGUAGGAGUUUGGGCCGUGUCUCAGUCCCAAUGUGGCCGUCCACCCUCUCAGGCCGGCUACUGAUCGUCGCUUUGGUAGGCCGUUACCCUGCCAACUGGCUAAUCAGACGCGGGUCCAUCGCAUACCACCUCGGUUUUUCACACUGGACCAUGCGGUCCCGUGCGCUUAUGCGGUAUUAGCACCUGUUUCCAGGUGUUACCCCCCGGUAUACGGCAGGUUACCCACGCGUUACUCACCCGUCCGCCACUAACUUAACA
rnacentral:rRNA from 1 species